GCAUUGGUGGUUCAGUGGUAGAAUUCUCGCCUGCCACGCGGGAGGCUUGGGUUCGAUUUUCGGCCAAUGCA
rnacentral:tRNA from 1 species